UUUUGUUUCCUUUAUUUUUUUUAUCUAUCUCCAAGCACAUCUUCAUAUUUUCAGAGAGUAUCUUCUAUCAUCUCAAAACAAAACGAAAUUAAUUGAAGAAAAAAAAAAAAAGAGUUCGUGCGAACAUGAGACUCCAUGUCUCACGAACUGAUUUUCUUCCCAAAUUUUCGGCUUCUCUCUCAAUAUUCCUCAUCGUGCUUCAGUACUCUGCUCUUCACCAUAUUCCUGGUAUCUCUCCUCAUCGUGCGGUCUCCGGAAGAACCUACUGUGAAAUUAGAGUUCAUUGAGUGCAAGAACAAGAAUUGAAGGAUUGGUUCUGCAAACAUUUAUAGUAUGGAGCUUUAAGAAACAAUACAUACAGUAUGGAGCUUUAAGAAAGAUCAUUGAAGCAAAGAGGACCUUGUAUUUGACGCACUUCCAAUGAAUAAUGACUUUGUGUAUUCUAGAUUUUUGACGCACUUCAUUUGUUAGGUACCUAUAUGAGGUCCUUGAGAAAUCUGACAUGGUUAAUACAUUUGGGUUCAUGGAUCCUGCAAGGGUCGUCUCUAUUGGGGUAUCAGAUUCAAAGAAUGUAGUGAACAAUUUAGUAGAACAUCGCAUCGCAACAAGGAAAGUCUGAUCAUAUAUUUUUGGUGCCUUACAAUCCCAGGUGAUUAUAUUACAUAUAAUGUUUUUCAAAUGCAUCAGCAAAUGGCAUUAGUGUGUGUAUAUGUCAUGAAUAAAAUUCACUCUUAAGUAUAUAUUGUUGGAUUUUCAAUGAUCACUGGAUGUUGACUAUAAUAACUGAAGAAAAAGACAUUGUCUACAUUGUGGACUCUUUGGAAAGACAAUACCGUGAACAAGUAAGUUUAUUUAUAAUGCUUUAUGUAUAUUGAAAUAGAAUUUUUAACCAUUUUUUAUGCUAAUUUGAAUUUCUUUCUUUAUGAAGUGCAAUAAAAUUAUUUAAUGAAAUUACGGGUAGACAUGGCAAAAAAGCAUCACGAUGGAUAAAUCGCUCGGGUGCACCAAAACAAGUGGGUGGUGGUGAAUAUGGCUACUAUGUCAUGAGAUACAUGAAGGAACUGAUUGAGGAUCCAAUGCUUUCUUUUGCACAGAAGGAAGUCGAAGAGAACCAGCGACUCACAAGAGCAAAUUGAUGAGGUGCGGAUUGAAUGGAGUGAGUUUGUUACAAGGAAAUACUUGUAGAUGUUUAUGAUGAAGCUUGAUAUUUGUAGUGCUGCUUUUUAUGGAACAAGUGGUCUUUGUUGAUCGUUUGUUAAGUUGGACAGAAUUAUUUAAGUUUCAUUGUUUAAUAUGUAGUAGUACUUAAGUAGUUUACUUAUUGUAGAACAUGAUAUUUUAACUUUUGGUUUAUGAAAGAUAUAUGCGUAAUAAUUUUU